rnacentral:lncRNA from 1 species
CAACACUGGGAGGACUGCAGUGGAGAGGGAGGGAGGGUGGAAAUCAAAUGGAUUAGAUCUGACCGGGUGUUGGAGGAACAUGGAUGUGCUCCACUGCCUGGCUUCUCCUCGGGAGACCCACCGUUUAGCCUGCAGCAUGGACAGGCAAAGCACAUGCUUGGCACUGGCCUUACUGCUCUGCUGCAUGGCACAGAUGGCACCCACAAGUUCCCAUGGCAUCAGAGUCAGGACAAGAGGAUGAUCCACCCAGAAGGACUGCUAGACCCUGGAGAAGGUCUUCACAUUCUCCUGUCACAGCCAGCUCUUCGAGCCUGCUAGAUGUCACAGCACAUCUGCCUUCCCUCCUCGACAUCCCUCUAGCUGCAGAGGUGCCUGGAUAUCUCAUCUCAGAGGGAGACCGCCCAGACACAAGUCCCUUUCCACCCUUCUGCUCUGGCUGCUGAUUUGUGCUCCUGUCACUCAGAUUCAGAGAUGCACCCAAUGCUGUGGAAGCCUCUGACAUCCUCAAGAUGCAAAACCCUCCAGUGGCAAAGUGGGGCUGAGCUCCCAUCCUGUCACUGCCCUGGGGACCCACGCAGAGCCCACUGGAGAUGGGAUCAGGGCUCCCUGCUUUCUGCCCAUCCCCUUCCGACGAAAGCA